rnacentral:lncRNA from 10 species
CUCCGCUCCCCCCAGCCAGGAGCCCAGGCCCAGGUGCGGGUCUCCUUCAGGCGGCCCCUCCCGUGGCGGGGCUGGAGGGCGAGGCUGGGGUGGGAGGCGGGAGCGAGGCUACCCGGUGGUCUUCGGGGGGCUGGGCCCAGCCGUGGGGCUCACCCACACCCUAUGGAGGACUCAGUCCUGGAUCGUGGCUAAAGCCCUUCCCUGUGGACUGUGGAAGGCGAUUUCUAGAGCCACUCCUCAAAGGGGAAGCGCUGGGUUGCCCAACUCCCAUGCUAGGGCCCCUCCAAGCCUCAGUAUUAAGGAGCUUCAAAGUCCCCUUCCUGAUUUUGUUUGUUUUUGUUUUUGAGACGGAGUCUUGCUCUGUCGCCCAGGCUGGAGUGCAGUGGGGGAUCUCGGCUCACUGCAACCUCUGCCUCCCGGGUUCAAGCGAUUCUCCUGCCUCAGCCUCGCGAGUAGCUGGGACUACAGGCGCCCGCCACCACGCCCGGCUAAUUUUUUGUAUUUUUAGUAGAGACGGGGUUUCACCACGUUGGCUAGGCUGGGCUAGAACUCCUGACUUCAAGUUAUCUGCCCGCCUGGGCUUCCCAAACUGCUGGAAUUACAGGCGUGAGCCACAGCGCUCGCCCCCCGUACUGAUUUGAGGGUCUCCAGAGCACAAAGGCUGCACCGGAUGAUGAAGAAGGAGCUGAAAGAGCCACAGACUCCGUAGAUCCGGUACAGUCCACACACAGGAAAUUCAGGUCUGGAGGCUGGGAAGCCCAAGAGCAAGGUGUCAGCAGAUGCAGUUCUGUUCUUAGGAUGAACACUUCACCAGAACAAGUACAGUGGUCCCCUCUUUUCCAUGGUUUUGAGCUCCAGGGUUUCAGUUACCCACAAUCAACAGCUGCCCAAAAACAGGUCUCCUCUUCUGAACUCUCAAGAACAACUCUCAUCACUGAGUAAAUCACAGUACUUCUCCACAAUACCUCAACGGAGAACAAGAGGGAGGGCACAUUUUGGACACUUCAAGAGAUUAUAUGUCACCAAAGCUGGAGUGCAGUGGCACGAUCUCGGCUCACUACAGCCUCCACCUCCAAGGUUCAAGCAAUUCUCAUACCUCAGCCUCCGGAGUAAUUGGG